rnacentral:rRNA from 1 species
GACGAACGCUGGCGGCGUGCCUAAUACAUGCAAGUCGAGCGGACAGAAGGGAGCUUGCUCCCGGAAGUUAGCGGCGGACGGGUGAGUAACACGUGGGCAACCUACCCUGUAGAUCGGGAUAACAUCGAGAAAUCGGUGCUAAUACCGGAUAAUCAUUUGAAGUGCAUGCUUCGAAUGUAAAAGAUGGCUCCGGCUAUCACUACGGGAUGGGCCCGCGGCGCAUUAGCUAGUUGGUAAGGUAAUGGCUUACCAAGGCAACGAUGCGUAGCCGACCUGAGAGGGUGAUCGGCCACACUGGGACGGAGAAACGGCCCAGACUCCUACGGGAGGCAGCAGUAGGGAAUCUUCCGCAAUGGACGAAAGUCUGACGGAGCAACGCCGCGUGAGUGAUGAAGGUUUUCGGAUCGUAAAGCUCUGUUGUUAGGGAAGAACAAGUGCCGUUUGAAUAAGGCGGCACCUUGACGGUACCUAACCAGAAAGCCACGGCUAACUACGUGCCAGCCGCCGCCGUAAAAC